AUUGCUUCUCGGCCUUUUGGCUAAGAUCAAGUGUAGUAUCAAAAUAAGCCAAAUAAAUACAUCUGCAAAACGUGUAGUAUGUGUUUGUCGUGAACUUUUGAAUGCCACUGUAUACACAUUUCUGUUUUUCAACAAAAUUCAUUGAUAUUUUGAUUGUAUUUCCCAUGAACUUUCUGGAGUGCCCUUG